rnacentral:lncRNA from 1 species
CAGGCAGAAUCAGGAGAUCUGAGCUGGCCUCCCUCUGCACCCCACCCCAGGCACCUGCCUCCUCUCCAGCUUAUCUCCCCCAUCCCCUUCCCGGGUUGCCAUUGACAACCUGCCAUUCUCAGAGCAUGCUUCUGAGCUGCCGAGCCUUCGCACCUGCUGGCUCCUCCACCUGAAUGUCCUUCUCUCUGUCCUCUUCCUGGAAACCCCAGCUGCCUCAGGAUAUGGUUCAGUCAUCACCUCCUUCAUCCAGCCUUCUCUACCUCUUUGUCUUAACAUUGAAAUGGCCAGCGUGUUCUUCUACCUGCCUGCCAGACAUGCAGGCCCAAGGUACCAGGAGGCAGAUGCUGACAGAUGCAUCUCAGUAUGCCCGGCACCUCCACCACACAAGGGCUGUGCUGGUUGCUGUGGGAAUGCUGCAGGGCACAAAACGGAUAAUGCUGGAGGGAGAAGACAGCAAACACAAGGCUCAAGAAACUCCAGUAUGUAAGAAGAGGACAUGCACAAUGGAAGAGGGAAGCCACCAUGCAGAAUGUCGGGGUGCACUUUUAAAUGGGACAGUCAAGAUGAGGAAACUGAGGCUUGGCGUCUCAUUGAG